AUUGAACGCUGGCGGUAUGCCUUACACAUGCAAGUCGAACGGCAGCACGGGAGCAAUCCUGGUGGCGAGUGGCGAACGGGUGAGUAAAGUAUCGGAACGUGCCCAGUCGUGGGGGAUAACGUAGCGAAAGUUACGCUAAUACCGCAUACGAUCUAUGGAUGAAAGCGGGGGAUCGCAAGACCUCGCGCGAUUGGAGCGGCCGAUAUCAGAUUAGGUAGUUGGUGGGGUAAAGGCUCACCAAGCCGACGAUCUGUAGCUGGUCUGAGAGGACGACCAGCCACACUGGGACUGAGACACGGCCCAGACUCCUACGGGAGGCAGCAGUGGGGAAUUUUGGACAAUGGGCGAAAGCCUGAUCCAGCCAUGCCGCGUGCGGGAUGAAGGCCUUCGGGUUGUAAACUGCUUUUGUACGGAACGAAAAGGUUUGGCCUAAUAAGCUGAGCUCAUGACGGUACCGUAAGAAUAAGCACCGGCUAACUACGUGCCAGCAGCCGCGGUAA
rnacentral:rRNA from 1 species